rnacentral:rRNA from 1 species
CAACGUAAACAACCUGCCUUCAGGAUGGGGACAACAGACGGAAACGACUGCUGAUACCGAAUAAGUUCCAAGGGCCGCAUGGCCCAUGGAAGAAAAGGUGGCCUCUACCUGUAAGCUAUCGCCUGAAGAGGGGUUUGCGUCUGAUUAGCUGGUUGGAGGGGUAACGGCCCACCAAGGCGACGAUCAGUAGCCGGUCUGAGAGGAUGAACGGCCACACUGGAACUGAGACACGGUCCAG